CAAAUCCUUCGGAAAUUAGGGUUUCCCCCUUCCUCUUCUUCUUCUUCACCGAUGCCUCAGAUCCUUGGAUGUGGCACCAACCCCAAUCCUCGAGGUUCGAAGGACUCUAUCAAUGGCGUUGUUCAUGGAUUGAGCGGAACGAUCCAUCUUAUGGGAUCAAAUGUGGAGGUACCUUCGAUUUGAUGAGUUGUUCUCAUUACAAUUAGGGCUCCAAGCUACUAUGAUUUGUGUUCUCUUCAUAAUUUUGUGUAUAUUGAUCAAUUUGCAUGUAAAUAAUAUUUUUUUUUCCAAAAUUUUAUUGAUUUUGUGGAGCUCUGCGUUUGUUGUUAGUCUGAUACUUAGUUGGUGAUGCUCUUUUGCGCUUAGAAUUUGACAUUGGAGAUUAUGACGCUAUAAACCAAUGAAAUAAUCAAACCAUCUUAGCUUAGGUAGUAAGGCAUCUUGGUGCAGAAACCGACCAAUAAAAUAACCAAACCAUCUUAGCUUAGGUAGUAAGGCAUCUUGGUGCCGAAACCGAGUGUGUGCUCUUUAUACUUAUUUGAUAAACAAGGAGACCAAAUAAUGUCGAUCCGUUUUUGUAAUUUACCUUAUACUAAAAGGUGGUCGCCCUAGGUAUUUGGAGUGAAGUGUCACAAAUGUUAUAGCAUAAGAAUUGUGAUGCUAUCCUUGUCUAAACUUGUUACUUAAAUUCAUACGUCGCCAAAGCUUCAGUGACAAGUGGUGGUUGAAUGUCGCUAUCUCAACGACGAACCAUGUACUCUCUUGUCGCAGCUGACCAUGAAAUGAAUGAAGCUAAGUUAGAGACUUCUAUGAAGAGAAUCUUUGGCUUGCACUUAUGGAUCUUACUAUCAAAAUUUUAUGACUACAUUAAUGGAGCAAUUAUUAAUCGUCCUAUUUGUUAUAAGACGAUACUCAAGAAUUAUGCAUCAACUAUGAGAUGAAAUGAUCGAUUGUCCCCAAUGCAAGUGACACAUGGUUUGAUGGUUGGUACCUGUUGGUUCCAAAUUCGAAACCUAGUUGCUACAUAUUUCUAGCUAAGUUUAUUUCUUAAAAAAAUGGAAGAAGCAAGUAACAUGCUAUCUUUUUCUUGCUUAGGAAAAAAGAAAAAACUAUAAGAUGAAAUGAACAUUACAACUUGGGCUCCUUAUACUCUUUGUUUGGUCUAUCCCAGCCCUCAUUUUUGAGUUUCAUUUUCUUUGUUGUUUGGAAUGCAAGUGUCAUAUGUGAACCCUUGUUUGCCUUCUGAAUGAUGUUUCAGAACCUGAAAUGGGAAAACAACUAUAUAAUUUACAUGAUCAUGUAACUAAUUCACUAAGUCAUUCAACCAGUGAUAUCACAAUUUUGUAAUACACACAAAUUGCAAGAGGAUACUAUAGAACAUAUACGAAAUGAGAAAAAUCUAGGAACAAAUAAGUGGAUAUCUGUCAUAUACUAGCAUUUAACAUACUAGUUUAUUUUGGUCUUGGUUGCUAUGAGGUUUAUUUGUCUCCUAAGUUGGUGUAUUGAGAAGAAGUAGGAAGUGGAGCAGAAGACAAACCAAAAGAAAGUUAGCUGAUAUAUCACUGCAUAUAAUGGCUUAGAUUUUUGUGUUAUAUCAGGAAAAUUCGUCUGGUUAAGAAGCGCCAAAUUAAGUGAGUCAAUAACAUCUGUUGACAUUGGGUGCACGGUGCAAACUCGCUGUCCUUUAUUUUUUCACUCAGCUACUUUCUGCAUUACCUAUCGUAAAGCAUCUAUUGUGAUAUGUUGAGCCUUAGUGAUUCAACUUCUGUAAUUUGAGAAUUGUGAGAACCAGAAUCUUCUUCUAACUAGUGUGUGAAUUAUAUUAUUGUCAUGAUGUAGUAUGCUACACAAAAUUGUAAUUUAUACAUUAUGCAAAUGUACUGCCCAAGUUCAGUUUUCAGAAUUUAUACUCUUCUUUGAUCUGCAAUUACAUCUAUGUCGUGUAUUCAUUUUUUUGGAAGUGCUAUGCCGUGCUAUUGUUACGUUCAUGAAACGACCUUACUCUCUAUUUAAUAUUUUUGUAUAAUCCUUUGCUAAGCAGACGAAGAAGGUAGCAGGAAAAAUUGAUUACACUUAUGGUUUACUACUCUCGACAUUUGACAGUCUCAUCUUGGGAGCUCCAUCAAGAUUAUCGUGGUGCACGAAAGAAACAUUCGAAUGGUAUAUUACAUGCUUAUCCUGUUUAUAACAAGGUGUUUACUUUUCUUUUUUCUUUCGUGAAAUUUACUGAUUUAAAACUCAUCUUUGGUGCUUAUUAGUCGCAUCUUUGGAGGUGAGCAGGAUUUAGAAAGAAAAAGUUUCCAGUGCUAGCAGCACUCGCAGAACUGCUGCGAAGGAUCAACACACUGAAGAACAUUAAGGAAGACAUCCUUGCCACAGGGUAUGCAGAGUCUGGAAUCGGGCUGGAACUCAUACUCAUCGCGAGCUCGAUCAAGCAAUUCCUGGAACAAGGGGUGCUCAAGGUAGGAAAGCCUAAUAACGUACCUCUUGCACUCCUCUCCCACAUACACUACCAUGUGACCCUUGGGGACGUCUUUUGGAAUAGUAGUUUGCUCUUCCUCUUUACUAUUCAGAAGAGACCUCUCUAACUUAUUAUACCGACUUGUGGAGGUUGAGAACUCGUGGCGCAUCUUCUUCCACUUCUUCAGGAAAGCCUUGAGGAAUCUCCCCUUUAGUAUCUUCAUUGGUUCUAGUGGUGAGUUGAAAAUAGUGUGGAGCCAAUGAGGAAUGACAUGUGCUUAUAUACUGUAGGGGAGCCAUGGUCUUGGAGCGGUUGCAUGAAUUAGAUAAGAUGAUUGAUGUUAAAUCCUACCAUGCACCGGGAGCACCACAUCAGUUGCGCACCACCCAAUGAGAUGUCGUGCUUCCCAUCUCAUACUUCGGACCUCACCGCAGGGAGUUGUAGCAUUUUCUUGAUCUAGAAAUUAUUCUCUGUAAGAGUGAGUUGGACGAUUAGAUUGAAACAUGAGGAAUGGUGGUGCAUGGCUGGCAGGGUGCACCAGGUCCAGAUGAUAUUUUCUCGGUUAAACAUAGCUAGAAGUGAGCUUUAAAUCCUCUUGAUCCAUGUUAAAGGUUAAAUGGCAUGUAAGGUGCUUAUCAAGUGAUUUUACUCAAAGCAUUAAAUGGGUAUUCUCGGAUGAUUGGUUGGAUGGGAGGUCCAAUGGGAUAUAUAUAUAUAUAUAUAUAUAUAUAUAUAUAUAUAUAUAUAUACUAAUUUUGUUUUUAUUUUCUCUUUUAAUAGCAGGUAAGCUGUACGAAACUGUAUGGAAUGGUACAAUGCGCCCGAUGGAUAGGAGCAAUCUCUUUCCAAAUGGAUUGGCUCUCGAAGCGAAACUGAGCAUAUUACUGCUCCUCGAAGUUCUCAAAGUUGUUGACACCACAUCAUUGGUAGGGGGGGCCAAGGAUAAGGUUUCCGGAAAGGAAUAGAAGAGGAUGGGAGGACUCAUUCAUUGGAUUGGGUGCUGCAUUCAAUUUCGGAGGGAGGUGAGAGCAUUACUUCUUCUGAUGCUUCAAACACACUUGGCUUAUUCAGUCCACAUUUUGUAUUCAAUUUUGAUUCGGCUGCUGAUUAAGUUGAAACCAAACCUACUUUUUCACGAGAUUAGUAGUUGUUAAUGUUACUGUCUCAGUCAUCGAAAAAUAGGAAGUAUGGUUUAUUAAUAUUCGAAGUCCCUUUAAUGGCAGCUACAAAGAUAAGACUGUAAUAGUAACUAAAGUGGAUACAUUGAACUUUUCGAACCUCUUGUGCUCUUUGUAAAUGUUAGAUUCUGAAUGAGAAAAGCAGUAUACUUUGAAAUCUUGUGCUUUGGCUUCUUGAAUAGAUGGUUGAUAACUUGAUUGCUUAUAUGAUUAGUCUAUAAUUCAAUGAUUAGUUGAUUAUUUAUACAGUGAGUUCAUGUUGGUUGAUGACUUGUUCUUGGUAGAAUGUUUUUCGUGAAUACACUUGAGUUAAUAUAUAAUCCUUUUUGUUGUAGUUAAAAACUAAUCCUGUAAUAUUGAAGAAAGAGUCGAAGUACAUAGAACUAUAGAUAAUUUGUGUCUCGUUCCAACCGAUCAAUUUAAUGAAUUAUUGAGGAGGCAAGAUGAAUUAAAUCAGUGUCCUUGUGAAUUUUAACAACUAUCAAAUUAAAAUUCUCCAUGUCACCAUGUUAGUAAAAUGGUCUCAUUCAAAUUCUCAGGCCUUUUUACGUAAGCUGCUGUGACACCUUCUUACAAGUUUUCUCUUGGCUAUUAUAAUUACCACUCUACCUAUGAAUUAAAUCACUGUCCUCUCAAAAUGGUAUAGAAGAUGUAAGUGGGUAUGGCUUUUUUUUUUUUUUUUUUUUUUUUUUUUUUUUUUUUUUUUUUUUUUUUUUUUUUUUUUUUUUUUGAGAGAGAGAGAGAGAGAGAGAUAUUUGCUACCCGUUUUGUUUAUUUUAUUUAGAAGUAAACUUAGCUGGAAAUGUGAAUCAACUAGAAUUCGAACUUAGGACCUCGGAUACCAACCACCAAGCUCUUUGCCACUUGCGCUGGUGAUGGUCGGUGUAAGUAGGUAUGGCGUUGCUCUUUGGUUUUUCUAUAACAAGUGUGUAUUAAUCUUUUGUGGAUUCUAAAUGGUCGAGAUUUGUUGGAGGAAAUGCCGGAAAACUUCUUAUUAUUCAUUACUAGUUAACUUAAUUAUAACUAAACUGAUCAGUAGAUAGAUGUGCAGUAAGUUUCUGUACACCAGGUUGUAGAAAAUUUGCUCCCUUUUCAAAUGCCAGCCCAUUUUGACCUGCUCCUAAAACGGAUGUGUUGGAACUCAGUUUGCAUUGGAACAAGGCCCAGGCCCAGGAUUACUUUUCGGAACCUGUGUUAAUUGGGCUUCUCAUGGGGGUUCCCUGGGCUCAUAUAUUCAGCUUGGCCUGUUUAGUUUCUCUACAUGAAGGAAUAGAGGAUACUAGUUACUACUAUAACCUUAUAUUAGGGUAGUGUCGUGGUGAACGGUCAUGCUUUGGAUACCCAAGAAGAUCCUUUCAGGUGUUUCUGAUGAGUUACUAAUCUGCUGACAUAGGCGAGUACUGACUCAUCAAUAAUAUUAGAGAAGAACUUCUGGCGAAAUAAAGCGGGGCACUGAUGCCGGUACUUUUACUUACAGGUGGCAUUAAAGGUCUCCUGAAGAGUCUCCAG
rnacentral:lncRNA from 1 species